rnacentral:lncRNA from 1 species
UCACUCUCUCUUACCAUCCAUUAUGUCAUUUUUGUUAGUAAGAGAAACAAGAAAAGAGAAAGAAGAAUAGAAAUAAGAAGAAAGAAGAAAAUAAGAAAGGAAAAAAGAGAAAACUUGAAAAGUGAAAUUCAAGAGCUUGAAUAAUCAAGAACUCAUAUCCAUCUUUCAUCAUCUUCAUCUUCUAGAGAUUAGUUCCUAGUUAGACCAAGCCUUG